rnacentral:rRNA from 1 species
GAUGAACGCUGGCGGCGUGCCUAAUACAUGCAAGUCGAGCGAACAGACGAGGAGCUUGCUCCUCUGACGUUAGCGGCGGACGGGUGAGUAACACGUGGAUAACCUACCUAUAAGACUGGGAUAACUUCGGGAAACCGGAGCUAAUACCGGAUAAUAUAUUGAACCGCAUGGUUCAAUAGUGAAAGACGGUUUUGCUGUCACUUAUAGAUGGAUCCGCGCCGCAUAAGCUAGUUGGUAAGGUAACGGCUUACCAAGGCGACGAUGCGUAGCCGACCUGAGAGGGUGAUCGGCCACACUGGAACUGAGACACGGUCCAGACUCCUACGGGAGGCAGCAGUAGGGAAUCUUCCGCAAUGGGCGAAAGCCUGACGGAGCAACGCCGCGUGAGUGAUGAGGGUCUUCGGAUCGUAAAACUCUGUUAUUAGGGAAGAACAAAUGUGUAAGUAACUAUGCACGUCUUGACGGUACCUAAUCAGAAAGCCACGGCUAACUACGUG